rnacentral:tRNA from 1 species
CAUUAGAUAGCUUAAAACAAGUACUGGUCUCUUAAACCAUUUUAUAGUAAUUAGUGCCUACUUCUAAUGA